rnacentral:rRNA from 1 species
ACGCUAGCGGCAGGCUUAAUACAUGCAAGUCGAGGGGCAGCGCAGUGUAGCAAUACAUGGGCGGCGACCGGCAAACGGGUGCGGAACACGUACAGAACCUUCCUUCGAGCGGGGAAUAGCCCAGAGAAAUUUGGAUUAAUACCCCAUAGUAUAUUGAAGAGGCAUCUCUUUAAUAUUAAAGAUUUAUCACUUGAAGAUGGCUGUGCGGCUGAUUAGGUAGUUGGCGGGGUAACGGCCCACCAAGCCUGCGAUCAGUAACUGGUGUGAGAGCACGACCAGUCACACGGGCACUGAGACACGGGCCCGACUCCUACGGGAGGCAGCAGUAAGGAAUAUUGGUCAAUGGACGCAAGUCUGAACCAGCCAUGCCGCGUGGAGGAUGAAGGUCCUCUGGAUUGUAAACUUCUUUUAUAUGGGACGAAAAAAGGGUUCUCUAACUCGUCUGACGGUACCAUAUGAAUAAGCACCGGCUAACUCCGUGCCAGCAGCCGCGGUAAUACGGAGGGUGCAAGCGUUAUCCGGAUUCACUGGGUUUAAAGGGUGCGUAGGUGGGUUGGUAAGUCAGUGUGAAAUCUCCGAGCUUAACUUG